rnacentral:rRNA from 1 species
CAGCCGCCGCGGGAAUACGGAGGGUGCAAGCGUUAAUCGGAAUUACUGGGCGUAAAGCGCACGCAGGCGGUCUGUCAAGUCAGAUGUGAAAUCCCCGGGCUUAACCUGGGAACUGCAUUUGAAACUGUCAGGCUGGAGUCUUGUAGAGGGGGGUGGAAUUCCAGGUGUAGCGGUGAAAUGCGUAGAGAUCUGGAGGAAUACCGGUGGCGAAGGCGGCCCCCUGGACAAAGACUGACGCUCAGGUGCGAAAGCGUGGGGAGCAAACAGGAUUAGAUACCCGCGUAGUCCCUGUCUCUUAUAC